rnacentral:tRNA from 1 species
AGCGUCGUUGCGCGGUUUCCUGCGCGCUGCGUUCCGGCCGCUGAUCGGGCCGCCGUUCGGCGCGCGCGUGCAGCGCCGCGUCGUCGCGA